UUGACCGAAAUGGAGAACCAACCUGAGGCUUCACAAGUAACGGGAUGACCCAAAUCCCUGAAAACUUCCACAAUGGAAAUAGGGCACAAUGACCGGGCUGAACUGCGGGACUUGGUAGGGCUGGAGGUCCCAGACACCCUCCUCUUCCUCAUCCUUCAUCAGCAUGGAGCCCUGGGAUCCCUGAUGGCCCCUACCAGAUGGGAGCUGCUCUGGUUGUUUUUUGAGGUGCCCCAUUGGGUUCCAGUUCUGUUCCUGCUCCCCACAGCACAAAAAUGCCCUUUUGGGGCAACCCUGGUCAAGAGAAUUGUCUUUAGGACAGAGCUCGGAUUGUCAUUACCUGCAGGGAAAAAAAAAAAUCUUUGGUAUCUUUGCAAGUUGCUCCUCAAGGCAUUUUGGUAGGUGUGGGCAGCAGGCGAGGCUGGAUCCAGCAUAGGGCAAAGCCCCUUUGGUUCAGUGGGUGCUGGUGGGUGAAGGACAAGGACUGCACUCAGUGCUCAGCUUCUCUGGGAUGUCCCAAAUCAUUGGGUUCUUGUUCCGAGGUGGGAACCAGUUGGGCUCUGUAGGCUCCUAGGACUGGUGGCUGUGGGCUGGGUCUAAGCUUGGUGACACCUUCUUGUGGUUGGAAGUGAAGUCUGGGCAUCCAAACAACAACGUUGCGAUGGACCUCCAAACAGCAGCAUUUCCCCAGAAGAAACCAGGAGGGUUGUGUGGAUGGACAGCCAUGAAGACGAUGAAGGCUGCAGGAUGCUGCAUUGAAGAAGAUGCAGUCAUUUGAGCUUUGGGGCCACAUCUAGUGACAGAGGUGAAGGAUGGAGAAUGAAGAGGCAGAAGAGGACUCAAGAAUCAGCAUGUUAAAAUAAAGGCAAGGAUGGAGGCAGGUCUUCAAGGACACCCCAAGGGAGAGCAACUCGGGGCCAUCAUACAAUCACAAAAUGGUUUGGGUUGGGAGAGACACUUGAAGAUCACCAGUCCCACUGACUGCCAUGGGCAAAGAUGUCCUUCACCAGGUGAGGUUGCUCAAAGCCUUGUUCAGCCCAAUGUUGAACACUUCCAGCAAUAGGACAUCCACACCUUUGGGCAGCCCGGUUCAGUGUCACUAUCCUCAACGUGACAAGCUUCCAUUGCCCAGAAUGGCCGCAGUGUGGGGAGGAGGAUGGUGAUGGGGCAUUGGGGCCAUUUCCCUCACCUCAGAGCACAUGAGGAGCCCAGAGCUUUGCAAACUCAGGUGACGGUGGCUGAUUGUCUCUGUCUCUCUUCUGCAUGAAGACACUUGGGCUUUGACACACAGAUCUGGAUAAAGCACAAAAAAAUCCCCAAACCUGAGAGGCGCGGGACCUGGCGGGGUUGGUUUGGCAUGGGUGGGCACACACAGGGGUCCCGUGCCCCAGACACCCAUACCCGGUUUGCUGGGCAUGGGGUCGUGUGCCCCCACAACCCCCUGCAGCCCCUACACCGUCCCCCAUUGGGGUAAUACAAUGUGCAGAGAAAGGAAAGGGAGAAAAGAAGCGAACAAACCAACAGAGGGGGUAAAGGAUGGCUCUCCCAUAAUUGUGUGAUUGAGAAAAGGAAAUAAAUACGGUGAUCCAUGCAGAAAACUCUUAAUCAACCCAGAAGUCAUGGACAAAAAAAGCACAGUUUGUCCCCUCCCGCUCCCACCCGACC
rnacentral:lncRNA from 1 species